UACGUAGGCUCCAAGCGUUAUCCGGAUUUAUUGGGCGUAAAGGGUGUGUAGGAGGUUUUGUGCGUCUUCUGUAAAAUUUCGCCGCUCAACGGCGAAGCCGCAGAGGAUACGGCAAGACUAGAGAAUGUGAGAGGUCUGUGGAACGCAAGGUGUAGGGGUGAAAUCCGUUGAUAUCUUGCGGAACACCAAAGGCGAAGGCAGCAGACUGGCACAUUUCUGACUCUGAGACACGAAAGCGUGGGGGAGCAAAAAGG
rnacentral:rRNA from 1 species